rnacentral:rRNA from 1 species
UACGGAGGGUGCAAGCGUUAUCCGGAUUCACUGGGUUUAAAGGGAGCGUAGGUGGGUCUGUAAGUCAGUGGUGAAAUCUCCGUGCUUAACAUGGAAACUGCCAUUGAUACUAUAGGUCUUGAAUUAUCUGGAGGUUAGCGGAAUAUGUCAUGUAGCGGUGAAAUGCUUAGUAUAUGACAUAGAACACCAAUUGCGAAGGCAGCUGGCUACAGGUAUAUUUGACAC